AUGAACGCUGGCGGCGUGCCUAAUACAUGCAAGUCGAGCGAACAGACGAGGAGCUUGCUCCUCUGACGUUAGCGGCGGACGGGUGAGUAACACGUGGAUAACCUACCUAUAAGACUGGGAUAACUUCGGUAAACCGGAGCUAAUACCGGAUAAUAUAUUGAACCGCAUGGUUCAAUAGUGAAAGACGGUUUUGCUGUCACUUAUAGAUGGAUCCGCGCCGCAUUAGCUAGUUGGUAAGGUAACGGCUUACCAAGGCAACGAUGCGUAGCCGACCUGAGAGGAUGAUCGGCCACACUGGAACUGAGACACGGUCCAGACUCCUAAGGGAGGCAGCAGUAGGGAAUCUUCCGCAAUGGGCGAAAGCCUGACGGAGCAACGCCGCGUGAGUGAUGAAGGUCUUCGGAUCGUAAAACUCUGUUAUUAGGGAAGAACAAAUGUGUAAGUAACUAUGCACGUCUUGACGGUACCUAAUCAGAAAGACACGGAUAACUACGUG
rnacentral:rRNA from 1 species